AUACUAUGGUAUUCUCACCUUUGUACAGGAACCGAUGAGGAACGUGGGAUAACAAAAUGGCGUCUUACUUUAUCAAAAGCUGGCGAAACAACUGAAGAAACUUCAUUUUCAAUGAAGACAUACGAUUUCCCGUUCGGCAUGGGUUUCAUUCGCAAGAAAGCCUUUUUUUCAUAUCUACCAUUCUGCCCAACAUUCCCAGCACCUUCGUGCAAGUUUGGGAAAAAUGAAGACAUACACGGUGAAGAAAAUAUGGGUGCAGAUACUCGCAUGUAGAGGCGCAUUAACACAGUUAGAGGAAUGAAAAUGUACCGUAUGCUUCUUGUCUUUCAAUUAUAACUUUCAAACUGGUAUUCCAUUUACGCGAUCAAUUUACUGUCAAUUUAUAUUAUUCACAUAGGGCCUACCAACCAAAACAGCCAAUAAACAGUAAAAUCCGAUUCGAAAUACCUGUCGUCCUACAAUGGCGUCUAUGCAAAAUAUAAAGUAGGGUCUAUAAAAACUAUGGGGAUAGUUCAUCACUUACGCUUAUUUUGAAGUCGGAUGUAUUUUUGGUCCCGAUCGCACUAAGGUCAUUAUUAGAUAGGCAUAUCUUCAUAAGACUUAUACAAAUGGAUACCUUAUUCGAAGCAAGAAAUCAAGUUGUCUUUAAGUCCGCUCGCUUAUAUUAUUCGGCUUGAUAUUUACCUUAUAUAUUAUGUCAAUACAAAAAAACUUGUUUAAUUGGCGGAAAGUAUUAUACAAUUUUUAUAAUGAAUACAAAGCAUAUAGAAAUAUAGUUUGGGCAUAGUUCGUCAUUUUUUUUUAUUUAUUAAGUAGGACUAUUAUUUAUAUAAUGCAUUAGUUUAAUAUUUUUGCCUAUAGAAACAAAUUUUUAUAUUAUUAAACUGGUAUUGUUUUUGUUUUUUAUGUUUAGGUUGUUGAGUUUAGGUGAAAUCUGACCUGAUUUUUUUUCACCUCUUUUAUUAUUGUUUCUUUGAUAUAAUUAGGCCUAAGAACAUUUCCCCGCUUUUGGUGACACGUUUAAAACUAAUACGUUUAGGUUGUUGAAUGUAGAUAGAAUUUGACAUAAUUUUCUUCACCACGUUUAGGCCUACUAUUGCUUAUGUAGCCUAAUUAACAAUCUUGACCCGAUUUCAAUUACACGAAACGUGUUUGGUGACACGUUUAUAGCUAAUGUGUUUUCGGUUGGUAAACUAGAUUUAUGUAAAAAUUGUUCUGAUUUUCGUUUGCUAUUGUUUAUUUUUUGUAAUUAACAAUCCUUCCCCGAUUUUGGUAUCACGUUUAAAGCUAAACUUUUUUGUUGACACGUUUAAAGCUAACGUGAAACCUCACAAAAUUUUCUUCACCUUGUUUACUAUUGCUUAUUUUAUGUAAUUAACAGUUUUUUUCCGCUUUUGGGAAUACGUUUAAAGUUAAACAUGUUUCGGCAUGGAUGGGCAUGGUAUCAAUCAUGGUAUUUAAGUCAACAAUGAUUAUUGCACUUCAGUCGUUAUUAAUUAUUGUAUUUUAGUCAACAUCAAAUGAUUAUUGCACUUCAGUCGAUGAAUAUUCAGUAUUGAACUAAGUUUAUGGUGAACUUUGAACUUGAUCGUAUCAUUUUAGUAACAUUUUUUUAAUCUACAAAUCAAGAUGGUUCUGUUAAACCGUCAAAUUUAUGAUUGGUAAAUUUUGUAAAACGUAACAUAAGAUUAGAAGAAUAUAUGGAAUCGAUACAUGAUAGAAUAGAACAGUUUAAUGACGAGUGGAAACUACUAAAACAGUUAGGCCUAAGUUCAUAGGUUUUUUAUAUCUAUCGGGUCUUUGGCCCUAGGCAUUACUAUGCAAAAUGUUAUACGCAUCAUGUAUGGUACAUUUUCUUUUAUCAAGAUGUUUGCAUUAACAUAUUUUGUGUGUUUUUUUGUUUUGUUUUGUUUUUGUUUUUUACCGCUGCGUCGGUUUACAUAUUCAAAUUGAAAUUUAUAUUUGAUAGGCCCUAUACGAAUAUGAGUAAUUUAUUGUAAUUUGGCUUGCUAUUUAAUAGCAAUUAUAUUUAAUAUUUAAUCAUUGGCAUUGAUGUGAGUAGGCCUACCGGUAUUAAAUUAUUGUAUUACCUUUUUUUAAGAUUGUGUAAUGGGGUAACUAAGAAAUGGAAUAUUAUGUAAUAUUAUGGAUUUAUACUUGACCUAUGGAUUAAUAAAUUAAUUUUUUUUUUAAUUUUA